rnacentral:lncRNA from 1 species
UUGAGACAAAAAUAAAAAGAAAGAGAUGGUAAAACUAGGUGUAGGCGACGGUAACAAUGGAGGAAGAAAGGGAAAAAAAUGAAGACCAAGGAGGAGAGGAGAGGGGAGGAACGACUAGGGUGUGUCAAAAUAGAAUAAAGGCUGAUUAUUAUGUGUAAAGUUAGCAUUUAUACAUAGGGUUACAAGGGUAUGGAUGGCACACAC